GACAAGCCCGGCACGCCCAUGGCGCCCGGCGCCGGCGCGCAGUCCAGCGCCUACAUCUACGAGCUCUUCAACGAGGACCUCCGCCCGGGCCCCGUGUCGGAGGCGAACUGGGGCCUGUUCUACGGGAACGGCACCCCGGUGUACCUCCUCCACGUGUCCGGCGCCGACGGGUUCCUGGGGAACGACACGACGGACCGGACCUUCUGCGUAGCCGCCGACGACGCGGACUUGAAGGCGGUGCAGGCGGCCAUGGACUGGGCGUGCGGCCCCGGGCGCGCCGACUGCACGGCGAUACAGCCCGGGCAGGCGUGCUACCAGCCC
rnacentral:lncRNA from 1 species